CCUACGGGGGACAGCAGUGAGGAAUAUUGGUCAAUGGGCUUACGCCUGAACCAGCCAAGUCGCGUGAGGGAAGACUGCCCUAUGGGUUGUAAACCUCUUUUGUCAGGGAGCAACGCCGGCUACGUGUAGCCGGACUGAGAGUACCUGAAGAAAAAGCAUCGGCUAACUCCGUGCCAGCAGCCGCGGUAAUACGGAGGAUGCGAGCGUUAUCCGGAUUGAUUGGGUUAAAAGGGUGCGUAGGCGGAAUGCCAAGUCAGCGGUAAAAUCGCGGGGCUCAACCUCGCUCCGCCGUUGAAACUGGCGUUCUUGAGUGGGCGAGAAGUAUGCGGAAUGCGUGGUGUAGCGGUGAAAUGCAUAGAUAUCACGCAGAACUCCGAUUGCGAAGGCAGCAUACCGGCGCCCAACUGACGCUGAAGCACGAAAGCGUGGGUAUCGAACAGGAUUAGAUACCCUAGUAGUC
rnacentral:rRNA from 1 species